ACUGGGUCUAAUACCGGAUAUGACCCUCNANCGCAUGNUGGAGGGUGGAAAGUUUUUUCGGUUGGGGAUGGGCUCGCGGCCUAUCAGUUAGUUGGUGAGGUAAUGGCUCACCAAGACGACGACGGGUAGCCGGCCUGAGAGGGCGACCGGCCACACUGGGACUGAGACACGGCCCAGACUCCUACGGGAGGCAGCAGUGGGGAAUAUUGCACAAUGGGGGAAACCCUGAUGCAGCGACGCAGCGUGCGGGAUGACGGCCUUCGGGUUGUAAACCGCUUUCAGCAGGGAAGAAGCCUUUAUCGGUGACGGUACCUGCAGAAGAAGUACCGGCUAACUACGUGCCAGCAGCCGCGGUAAUACGUAGGGUACGAGCGUUGUCCGGAAUUAUUGGGCGUAAAGAGCUCGUAGGUGGUUGGUCACGUCUGCUGUGGAAACGCAACGCUNAACGUUGCGCGUGCAGUGGGUACGGGCUGACUAGAGUGCAGUAGGGGAGUCUGGAAUUCCUGGUGUAGCGGUGAAAUGCGCAGAUAUCAGGAGGAACACCGGUGGCGAAGGCGGGACUCUGGGCUGUAACUGACACUGAGGAGCGAAAGCAUGNGNAGCGAACAGGAUNAGAUA
rnacentral:rRNA from 1 species